rnacentral:rRNA from 1 species
UACAGAGGUCUCAAGCGUUGUUCGGAUUCAUUGGGCGUAAAGGGCGCGUAGGCGGCGGGGUAAGUCGGGUGUGAAAUCGUCAGAGCUCAACUCUGAAACUGCACUCGAUACUGCUCUGCUUGAGGACGUGGAGAGGAGACUGGAAUUCACGGUGUAGCAGUGAAAUGCGUAGAUAUCGUGAGGAAGACCAGUGGCGAAGGCGGGUCUCUGGACAGUUCCUGGACACUGAGACACGAAGGCCAGGGGAGCAAACGGG